rnacentral:misc_RNA from 1 species
GUCAAUUCAUUUAAGUUUCACCGUUGCCGGCGUACUCCCCAGGUGGAUUACUUAUCGCUUUCGCUUGGUCGCUGACGGUCAUAUUGCCAACAACGAGUAAUCAUCGUUUACGGUGCGGACUACCAGGGUAUCUAAUCCUGUUUGAUCCCCGCACUUUCGUGCCUCAGCGUCAGUUAUAGUUUCGUUAGCUGCCUUCGCAAUCGGUGUUCUAUGACAUAUCUAAGUAUUUCACCACUACAUGUCAUAUUCCGCCAACGUCAUCUAUACUCUAGACUUGCAGUAUCAAUGGCAGUUUCUUUGUUAAGCAAAGAGAUUUCACCACUGACUUACAGGUCCGCCUACGCACCCUUUAAACCCAAUGAAUCCGGAUAACGCUUGCAUCCUUCGUCUUACCGCGGCU